rnacentral:rRNA from 1 species
GACAGAGGGUGCAAAUGUUGUUCGGAUUUACUGGGCGUAAAGCGUGUGUAGGCGGCUUUGCAAGUCGGAUGUGAAAUCCCACGGCUCAACCGUGGAAGUGCAUCCGAAACGGCAUCGCUUGAGUCUCGGAGAGGAAGGUGGAAUGCUUGGUGUAGAGGUGAAAUUCGUAGAUAUCAAGCAGAACACCUGCGGCGAAGGCGGCCUUCUGGACGAUGACUGACGCUGAGACACGAAAGCGUGGGGAGCAAACAGG